rnacentral:rRNA from 1 species
GUAACGCCUGCCCAGUGAGUCUUACUUAAACGGCCGCGACUAAACGUGCAAAGGUAGCGCAAUCACUUGUUCCGUAAAUAGGGACCUGUAUGAACGGCCACAUGAGAAAGAAACUGUCUCUUGAAGAUAGCCAGUGAAACUGAUCUGCUUGUUCAAAAGCAAGCAUAAUUAAGCUAGACAAAAAGACCCUGCGAAACUUAAAGCCAAGCAUUAAACAAACUAAUGCCUAACUUUUAGUUGGGGCAACUAUGAUACACUAAACAUCUUAAAGAUCCUAAACCAACAAGUUAAAACUACUCUAACAGAGAUCCGGCACAGCCGACCAACGAACCAAGCUACUCCAGGGAUAACAGCGCCAAAUUCUUUGAGAGUCCACAUCAACAAGAAUUCUUACGACCUCGAUGUUGGAUCAGGGUAUCCAAACAGCGCAGAAGCUGUUAACGGCUCGUUUGUUCAACGACUAA